CGAACGGGACUUGCUCCAAGAAGAAAGGCGCAGGCUAUAAACCAAUGCGGGAAUGGAGCCAUGUUUUUCCCGUGGUCUCUCCCAAAACAAGGAACAGUUUAAGAUUGCUUACGAUGAAGGAGUUGGAUCGCCCAUGAGAACGGCUUGAUUAUCAUCGCACAGUCCAGCAACAAAAUCCUCCUCUGUUGCGCAUUCAACAGCUCGGAAUCCCACGUCACUUAGGAUAGAUUCGGCAAAGUAAGUAACCGAUCGUCCGUGAUCGCAACCACCUCUCCCCUGGGCUACGUUUAAAAAUAAAGGUACCUGUCAAUCCAAGGAAAUAUGCAGAGCAACCAGGUUGGAAUUGACCGCCGUUGGGAUAAAAGUCAAUGUGCCCGAUUGGUGGUAAGAAACCAAGCUCGUCGCCCAGUAAAGUGCCUCCGUUUGUGUGAAUGAUAUCGACAAAGUCACCGUCGGACGGGUCCAAUCGCGUGUCCGUGUCGUUGAGUGAGAAAAAAGGCCCAGCCGGAUCCAAACCUGCAAGCGAAUUUACAGUAAGUUUGGUCUCGAUUCAUACGAUUUCAGUUUUGUGUAACCAGUGAUGCGAGGCACUCUUCCCAAAGUGACUGCCGCUCCUGCACCGCCUGCGACGUGAGCCCCGAGGCUAUGGCCCAUCAAGUGAAUGGAGCUAAACGGCGUUCCCGUAUUCUUGACGAGAAAGUCAAUGAAUUGUCUACUCCGAAAAUUUUUACAAUCAGAAUUGUUUUAUGAAGUUAUCGGAAGAAUUGAAUUUUUGAUUUACUGACCCUGUGUGGAUCGCUGCUCGGGGUACGUCGCGUUCAACAAUCAGAGGAUAUUCGAUACCCGAAGCCAAUACGGACCAAUCAACUGCUAUGACAUUGCAUGACUCUCGAGUCAGGCCGACCUUGGAUUAGCGUUCCAGCCAUGGGCAAAGAUCUUUGUCGGCAAUAACGGAUCAAAGUAGGACUGUUGAAGCGAUUCCAAGUUAUCGAGCUCGAGAAUUUGAGGUCGAGUCGGAUUAAAUCUGAAAUUGAAAUGUACAGUCAAAGGGUACAGACUGCUUAACUAAUGACAAUUUCUUCUUACGGUGUGAAUAGCUCGAAGACAACCGUGGUGACGUUCGGUUCCCGUGCUUCCAACGGUUCUUCAUAUUCUAAGACCAAGUGGGAGCUAAUGCGAGCACUAAACAAGCGAUCAGCAAUUGAAAGGAGCCCAUCUUUGGUUGUCGUAUCUCUGGAGCUGCAAAUAUCUGGACUAACUGGAGCAGCACUGCUGAUUCAAGACAAACAUUCGCCUGCC